rnacentral:rRNA from 1 species
GAUCCUGGCUCAAGACGAACGCUGGCGGCGCGCCUAACACAUGCAAGUCGAACGGUGAAGAGGAGCUUGCUCCUCGGAUCAGUGGCGGACGGGUGAGUAACACGUGAGCAACCUGGCUCUAAGAGGGGGAUAACAGUUGGAAACGACUGCUAAUACCGCAUGACGUAUCGGGAUGGCAUCUUCCUGAUACCAAAGAUUUUAUCGCUUAGAGAUGGGCUCGCGUCUGAUUAG